rnacentral:rRNA from 1 species
UACGAGUGCCCCAAGCGUUAUCCGGAAUCAUUGGGCGUAAAGGGUGUGUAGGCGGUCGCGUUAGUCUCCUGUCAAAAUCUCCGGCUCAACCGGAGCCCUGCAGGGGAAACGGCGCGGCUAGAGGAUGCGAGGGGUGAAUGGAACUCAUGGAGUAGGGGUGAAAUCCGUUGAUAUCAUGGGGAACACCAAAAGCGAAGGCAAUUCACUGGCGCAUUCCUGACGCUGAAACACGAAAGCGUGGGUAGCGAACGGG